rnacentral:misc_RNA from 1 species
AAGUGAUUAAGGUAUGCCUGAGUUCUAUUCAUUCAUUUUUUUUACCCAAAAAAAAACUCAGGGAUUUGUGUUUUCUUUGUGUGAAUCCUGUUUGAGAAGUUCCGGUUAAGAGAUUCAUGAUCUCUUUUAUAUAUAGCAAGGUUUUCAAACUUAGUUUAGUCAUUGAACCAGUGAAGGCAAAAGGUUAAUGGUUCAAAGUUCAAUUAGGGUCGAAUUGAAGUUUAACCGGUAUAUUGUGAAAUAAAUAUUAUA